rnacentral:misc_RNA from 1 species
GAUGAAGAACGCAGCGAAAUGCGAUACUUGGUGUGAAUUGCAGAAUCCCGUGAACCAUCGAGACUUUGAACGCAAGUUGCGCCUCAAGCCAUUAGGUUGAGGGCACGUCUGCCUGGGCGUCACAUAUCGUUGCCUGAUGCCAGUUUCCUCGUGAUGGGUGACUGUGCAGGGCGAAUGAUGGCUUCCCGUGAGCAUUGUUGCCUCAUGGUUGGUUGAAAAUUGAGUCCUUGGUAGGGAGCGCCGUGAUAGAUGGUGGUUGAGUGACGAACGAGACCCAAUCAUGUGAGACCCCUACCGAAUUUGGCCUUCAUGACCCACAUGCGUCUUUGGAACGCUCAUGACGAGACCUCAGGUCAGGCGGGGCUACCCGCUGAGUUUAAGCAUAUCAAUAAGCGGAGGA